UUCCUCGCCGCCGCCGCCGCGGAUUCACCUCACCGCGCCUCCGAUUCACCUCGCCUCCAUGCCAGGGCCGACUCCACCUUGUCCUCCUGCCGCCACACCACGAGUCGGGAGCUCCUUGAACUCCGGUGAGAGACAUGAGCGUUGGGCCUCCACUCUCACCUUAUUCUCUCGACCAUGGGUCGCACUGCUCUUUCUUUGAAGUGUCUCUAUUUCUUGCGUUUAGGCAGUACGCCAGUACAUGAUGCUUCAGGUGAGAAGUGCAGUGGCGAAAAAAGAGAGAACGCAGUGUUUUCUUCUAGCAUGACAGAUACUACCAGUGGUGCUACUAUUCAGCAAUUGACGAAACUUUCAGCAUAGUCUUUUUUUUGUGAAGAAACUUUCAGUAUAGUCAACGGAAGUAAUAUGAACAUACCAGAAUUUCUGUUGAUUCUCUCUCUCUUGUCCGUGCAGCAGCAGUUCUGCUCUCCUUAUUCUCUAUUGCAGCUUGCGCAUGCUAGGUAAAGCAUCUAUGCUAUUCGAUGCCAGUGCAUAAGUCCAAUCGUAUAGUAGUAAGAAGUGCAAGUCGAGGUAAAUUUUUUUAUUGGAACUUCACUGCGAUAUAGUGUUAUACUUCAGAGAAUUGUUGUUCUGUAUUUCACCGUGAUGCCACAGAGCUUGACAUGCCGCCGCAGUAGCCAGACGAUGGAAGCCAAGUCACUGGUAUACGCCGGUGAGCGAGCCGGAGGAUGGCCUCUAGCUGCUGGAGCACGGAGUCAGCAGGAGGACGCACGAGGCUGCUGCCCUGCGUAACGCUUUGCUGAACCGCGAGCGCCCUGUUGCAGCAGUACGCAUGAAGUUCCGCCGCCUGCUGCUAUAACAUGGAGCAAAAGCGAAGCUUGUGCUGCUCGGAUUGCCUGGGUUUCAUUUGCUUGUUCGGAUUGAUUUGCUGAUGCUGCAAUAUAUAGAUGUGUGCACAUGAUAGGGUAGAAAAAACUGGAUAGAUAUGCAUAGUGAUGUAGGGAUAUUAUUUCCGGGCUCCCAUAGAGUAGCUUCUCACGCCUCUGCUUGAACUAUCGCCGCACGUACAUCUGAACCAUUUCAGCUCCAUGUAUGGACUUUGUUGAUCUAUAGUUUUAGUCCCCAAGUUCAGUUCA